UACAGGCACUGAAAUGCCUGUCAGAUGUCUGUUGAGAGAAGGCUGUAAGCAGGACAUGGGCUCGGUGUUUGAGAACAGAGGUACUAUGAGCCUUGUCAUCGCAUCCCCUUUCUGUGUUCAGAGGUGUGUCAGGAUCAGGCCCUGUUUCUCCUUCCAGUGUUUCACAAGUGGAGACUUGAGUGCCUCUUCUCCAGGAAUGCCCAAGGAUCUUCAGACCCUCUCUCCCAAGACUUGCCUGCACACCAGAAAAAGUCUUUCAUUUCAUUAAGCAAUCACUUGGAAACAAAUCUCAAACUGGCAUCAUUUGAAAGGAAACUUAUCUUUCCCUCCAGGCUGUGGGUGCUCUUCAGGAAUUCAAAGGGAAGUUGGGUGCUUACAAGAUAUUCCAAUACCCUCCCUUUAAGAACUGCUGUAGAACUUGUCUGAGAAUCAAACUGCUCAAGUUGAGAAUGCAAUGCGUUCAAACUCGGAGAAGAUAAAAUACAAAUAAAAGUGAGUAUUUACGAAGUCUGACUAGACAACACAGUAGCAGGUGAAGAAAGGCAAGAAAAGGUCUCUUAAUCCUGUAAUCCAGAGACCAGGCCUACAAAGUCCCUUUCUUUCCCUGCAUUUUAAGUUCCUCUCAGGCAGCACUACUGGUGAGAUCUGUAGUGAGGGCCUGGUGGUACGGCUUGUCUGAAAGUGGGACUUCUGGGGAAAACAUAAUGGCAAUGCAAUCCAGACAAGCAAGUCUAGAGAGCACCAGCAGACAGCUUCAAUAUCCCCCUGUCUCUGCUCACUGGGAAGCUUUAUUCAUGAAAUGCCUCUUAUUUUAAACUAAAGCAGUGCCUAUUAUCUGGUCUCCAGACAUCUCAGAACAAUGUUUUUCCACAAAGCUGUAAUCAAGAGUGCUGUACUUCUGCAGGCCUCAUAGCUCUCUCUAUUGCUGGAAAAUUGGGGGUUGCUUUUUAAGUUGCUGACUGGAAGCAGGGGAUGUAUUUCCACUUAUCCCAGCAGGAACGCUUUAGGCCCAAGCUACAUUAGGAGAAAUACUCUGAGGCAUCUUAAAUUUUGAAGCCGUCUUCCGUUUAUUCAUCAUGAAAAUUAUUCUCUUGUUAAACUGGAGAAGUCAAUUUGUCUGGUAAAUAUGUGGAUGGAACCAUCACAGCCUUCACAGAGGAAAAGAUUAGCGUGGACUGGAGGAGUGAUGCCUGAAAGAUGGCUGCCCUGGGCCUGCGCUCUGAGGAGACACAAUCCACUGAGGCAACCAGAAUUCACAUGACCGCAUCAGGAUGGCACCAAGCCAGAGACAAUUCACUGUCUGACAGGCUGGGUUUGUUUAGCUGCCUGGGCUCCAUG
rnacentral:lncRNA from 7 species